rnacentral:rRNA from 1 species
UGCCAGCAGCCGCGGUAAUACGGAGGGGGCGAGCGUUAAUCGGAAUUACUGGGCGUAAAGCGCGCGUAGGCGGCUUUGUAAGUCGGAUGUGAAAUCCCCGGGCUUAACCUGGGAACUGCAUUCGAUACUGCAGAACUAGAGUAUGGUAGAGGGAAGUGGAAUUUCCGGUGUAGCGGUGAAAUGCGUAGAUACCAUAAAGAACACCGAUAGCGAAGGCAGCUUACUAGGCUGAGACUGACGCUGAGGCACGAAAGCGUGGGGAGCGAACAGGAUUAGAUA